GCAGUCGUGGCAGAGUGGUUAAGGUGAUGGACUAGAAAUCCAUUGGGGUCUCUCCCCACACAGGUUCGAAUCCUGUCGACUGCG
rfam:Ixodes scapularis strain Wikel colony gcontig_1107728974422, whole genome shotgun sequence.